GAUGAACGCUGGCGGCGUGCCUAAUACAUGCAAGUCGAGCGAACAGACGAGGAGCUUGCUCCUCUGACGUUAGCGGCGGACGGGUGAGUAACACGUGGAUAACCUACCUAUAAGACUGGGAUAACUUCGGGAAACCGGAGCUAAUACCGGAUAAUAUAUUGAACCGCAUGGUUCGAUAGUGAAAGACGGUUUUGCUGUCACUUAUAGAUGGAUCCGCGCCGCAUUAGCUAGUUGGUAAGGUAACGGCUUACCAAGGCAACGAUGCGUAGCCGACCUGAGAGGGUGAUCGGCCACACUGGAACUGAGACACGGUCCAGACUCCUACGGGAGGCAGCAGUAGGGAAUCUUCCGCAAUGGGCGAAAGCCUGACGGAGCAACGCCGCAUGAGUGAUGAAGGUCUUCGGAUCGUAAAACUCUGUUAUUAGGGAAGAACAAAUGUGUAAGUAACUAUGCACGUCUUGACGGUACCUAAUCAGAAAGCCACGGCUAACUACGUG
rnacentral:rRNA from 1 species